rnacentral:rRNA from 1 species
GUAGGUGGCAAGCGUUGUCCGGAGUUAUUGGGCGUAAAGCGCGCGCAGGCGGUUCUUUAAGUCUGAUGUGGGAAGCCCACGGGCUCAACCGUGGAGGGUCAUUGGAAACUGGAGAACUUGAGUACAGAAGAGGAAAGCGGAAUUCCACGUGUAGCGGUGAAAUGCGUAGAGAUGUGGAGGAACACCAGUGGCGAAGGCGGCUUUCUGGUCUGUAACUGACGCUGAGGCGCGAAAGCGUGGGGAGCAAACAGGAUUAGAUACCCUGGUAGUCCACGCCGUAAACGAUGAGUGCUAAGUGUUAGGGGGUUUCCGCCCCUUAGUGCUGCAGCUAACGCAUUAAGCACUCCGCCUGGGGAGUACGGCCGCAAAGGCUG